rnacentral:lncRNA from 1 species
ACCUUUAGAUUGUACUGCCUAGAAGGAAUAAUCACAGGGGGAAGAAAAAAUGGGUUAAUGGUGGAAACUUUAUUCUCAUCUGCAUUUGAAUCUUUGGAAUCCAACUGAAUGUAUUUAUAUGGUUCGCACCAUGUGUUUAUCCAUUUUCUUUUCACAAGUUCCCUGAAAUAGAACACUCUGGACUUGGAUGGCACCUUUAUUCACGUGAAGGAUUUUUCCAUCUGGAGGGAACUAUGAUGGAGGAAAUCAAAUGAUCGGUGUCUAAGGGAGACUGAGCAGAGGCCCAGGGACACAGCAAAUAUCAAGGUCAUCACACAAACAUCAACCCCACAGAGCCCCUAAAGCCCAGAAUCUGAAGAAGCAAAGGAACAAAAUGCCUUUAAAAGGACAUUCAUCACAUAUACUCCCCGCAAGAGUCUAUCAAAGGGCUCAUUUCCAUUGAUUUUGACAAGAGAUGCUACAAAGGCACUUCAGGUUUCCAAUGUAAUAGAAAUGAAACUAUUACAUUGGCAUUGUAAUGUACUUUCCCCUGAGCAUCACUGAAGUUGGGUGCCUCUUCAUAUGUCAAAUCAUUGUUUUUAUUUAUUUUACAGUGAAAUUUAAUUCCUUAUGUUCCAAAUAUUUUUAUUUGGUUGCUUCUAUUUUUUUCUCAUGACUGAGAAGCAAUUCAAAUAUACCUUAUAGUUGUGGUGUCUUUCCACAGCAUCCUUCCAAGCCAAGUGCUGUCCACAUGAUAAAUAAAAAAAAAAUCCCUCAAGGAUAUUUUCACAGGUCAUCCACACUCAAGACAGCUGAUGAGGAGGGCCGUCUGCCUUGCACGGCCCUACAUCAAGAGCUCUAUACAGGAGUUCCCGUCGUGGCGCAGUGGUUAACGAAUCCAACUAGGAACCAUGAGGUUGCGGGUUCGGUCCCUGCCCUUGCUCAGUGGGUUAACUAUCCGGCGUUGCCGUGAGCUGUGGUGUAGGUUGCAGAUGCGGCUCGGAUCCCGCGUUGCUGUGGCUCUGGCGUAGGCCGGUGGCUACAGCUCCAAUUCAACCCCUAGCCUGGGAACCUCCAUAUGCCACGGGAGCGGCCCAAGAAAUAGCAACAACAACAACAACAACAAAGACAAAAG